GUGCUUGCUUCAACAGCACAUAUACUAAAAUUGGAAUGAUACAGAGAUGAUUAGCAUGGCCCCUGUGCAAGGAUGACACACAAAUUCAUGAAGCAUCCAUAUUUUUA
rnacentral:snRNA from 1 species